GAUAAACGCUAGCGGCAGGCCUAACACAUGCAAGUCGAGCGGCAGCACGGUGUAGCAAUACAUUGGUGGCGAGCGGCGGACGGGUGAGUAACGCGUAUGCAACCUGCCCGCAACACGGAGAUAGCCGACCGAAAGGACGAUUAAACUCCGAUAGUAUCGAGAGGGGGCAUCCCCUUUUGAUUAAAUAUUCAUAGGUUGCGGAUGGGCAUGCGUGGCAUUAGUUAGUUGGCGGGGCAACGGCCCACCAAGACGAUGAUGCCUAUGGGUUCUAAAAGGAAGGUCCCACACAUCGGUACUGAGACACGGACCGAACUCC
rnacentral:rRNA from 1 species